GCUUUAAGAUCCUAGUACCCACAGUGCUUAGACUGACUCAAAGGAAAUCUCCCCUUGCAGAUCUGGCUUUGGAGGAAAGAAAGGCUGCCCUCACCGAAGAUGUCCCUGGGAUUGAUUUCAGAGCUGCAAUCCUGCUGUUGCCGAUCCUGUUCAGGGAGAAAAAUGACAUUCUCAUCAUACUUGGAGAGGAUCAGCCUGGUUGUAGCGCUAUCCUAUUGCAUGCAGAGG